rnacentral:tRNA from 1 species
UGCGGUAGGAUCACCUCCUUUCAAGGAUGAUGUGUGAUACGUUGGACGUCUCCGAAAUAAAAAGACCUUAUCCUUAUGGGUAAGGCAGCCAGAAGUUCUGUCUUUGGCGUUAGAGCGCCGUCAACAUAUCCCUUCCUAUCGUUUCCCGGGCUAGUAGCUCAGUUGGUUAGAGCACACGCUUGAUAAGCGUGGGGUCGGAGGUUCAAGUCCUCCCUGGCCCACCAGAGUUGCAGUCUGAUCCGAAAGUUAUGAUUGAAUAACGGGGGCAUAGCUCAGCUGGGAGAGCACCUGCUUUGCAAGCAGGGGGUCAUCGGUUCGAUCCCGAUUGCCUCCACCAGAUCAGAAUGAUGCGGUUGAGAGACUGAGAGACGCUUUUAUGAGAAUGAGAGAGUUUUUGAGUAUUUCCUGCUUCUUGCAGUCUGGUGGUUUUGGGAAACAUAGGAAAGUGGAAGAGUGUUUCUGCUUUGUUUGUUGUGCACGUUUUAACGUUUGCGCAGCGAUGAAGUGGGAUGUUGGUUCUUUGAGAGUGUGAAUAGGUUGGUGCAUCAUCUGCGUGUGCCGUUCUCGGGUUGGUCUGACCCUUUGUACCUUUGGUACAAUGCUAAGAGAAUGGCGUGAGCAUUCAGAUGGUGAAGAAUUAAGAGUGUGUCUGACACUGCAAAUAUGAGCAGAAGUCGGCAGCAUCUUAGGGUGUGGCUGGUUUCUGUGCAUGUGUUACAGAGCCUUGAGUAUUUCUCUUUGAGUGUGUGAGAAUGAGAAGGGCGUUCGGUGGAUGCCUUGGCA